rnacentral:rRNA from 14 species
AACUAGAACACGUUGGAAAGCGUGGCCAUAGACGGUGAUAGCCCGGUAUAAGUAAAGCGUAGUAAGAUAACAGUAUCCUGAGUAGUGCGGGGCACGUGAAACCCUGUAUGAAUCCGGCGGGACCAUCCGCCAAGGCUAAAUACUCCUAAGAGACCGAUAGUGAACCAGUACCGUGAGGGAAAGGUGAAAAGAACCCUGAACAAGGGAGUGAAAAAGAUCCUGAA